rnacentral:lncRNA from 1 species
UCCCAAAGUACUGGGAAUAUAGGUGUGAGCCGCCAGGCCUUGCCAACGUUUAUUUUUAAAUUUUUUUUGGCAAAUAUAGUUUUAAUUAGUUCCAGCCAAGAACACCUUGUUAGCAUCAAUUAUGAGCAACUUGGGAGAAGUGGGAGGGAAAUUUUGUUUAUUAUUAUCAUUAACUUUACCACCCUGAGAUACCAUCUCAUGCCAGUUAGAAUGGCAAUCGUUAAAAAAUUUGGAGACAACAUGGUGGAGAGGAUGUGGAGAAAUAGGAACACUUUUAUACUGUUUUUCAGAGUGUAAACUAGUUCAACCAUCGUGGAAGACAGUGUGACAAUUCCUCAAGGACCUAGAAAUAGAAAUUCCAUUCGACCCAGCAAUCCCAUUACUGGAUAUAUACCCAAAGGAUUAUAAAUCAUUCUAUUAAAAAGACACAUGCACAGGGUAUCUCCAGUGGUGUUCACAUUAACCCCAGAUAUUCCACAACAUUCAUCCUGGAUUCCUAAGUCCACUUGACAAAACAUAGAGGCAAAUGGAUGUGCCAUGAAAUUAGGAUUUGAUCUAGUAAGUGAGCCAUGGGGGAGGACUCAAGAUGGCGCUGUGAGAACAACCCAGGAUUGGAGCUCUCGUUGAAUCCGCAAAGAGGUGAGUCCAAGCUGCAUUUCCAGACUGAUCUUUGUUGCCCACAGAACGGGGAAACUCCCAAGUAUAAAAAAGACACGGGACGCCAGGCAGUAAGUCUGCCUGGAGAAGCCGGCAGCCGGGGCGCGGCGGCGGCCGGCCCUACCCAGCAAUCCCCACAGGGCGCACUUGUCCAGGUGCCCUGUUGAACCGGCAACCUGAGACUUGAGAGGGCUGGACUUGAGACUGAACGAGACUUGGACAGUAGGCCAGCCCAGGGGAUUGCAGGGACAGAGCGUUCGGGAUACCCAGUGGGACGAACAAAACCGCAAUUUCAAACUAUCCCGAGCAGAUGGUCCGAGACGCUCUGUGGGGGAGGGGCGUCCACCACUACUGAGGCAACCCGCCCCAACUGAGAUACACGCCCACUGCUGACGCAGCCAGCCGUUGCCGAGGCAACCCGUUCCUACUGAGAUACACGCCCACUGCUGACGCAGCC